rnacentral:rRNA from 1 species
AUACGAAGGGGGCAAGCGUUGUUCGGAUUUACUGGGCGUAAAGCGCAUGUAGGCGGCUAAUCAAGUCGGAUGUGAAAUCUCGGGGCUCAACCUCGAAACUGCAUUCGAUACUGGUUGGCUAGAGUUCGGGAGGGGGUAGCGGAAUUCCGCGUGUAGCAGUGAAAUGCGUAGAUAUGCGGAGGAACACCAGAGGCGAAGGCGGCUACCUGGACCGGUACUGACGCUGAGGCGCGAAAGCCAGGGGAGCGAAUGGGAUUAGAUACCCGAGUAGUCC